ACCCCGUGGCUAGAAUUGUCGCUCAGCUUGCGAAGUGCUUUCCCAGCGUCCUGGGAGCACUGGACUGGGUUUCGGCCGCUGUGUAAACUGGGAUUGGUGGUGCAGACCUGUAAUCCUAGCACUUGGGAAGUGGAGGCAGGAGGAUCAAUAGUUCAAGUCCUCAGCUGUGUAGGCAUUUGGAGGCCAACCUGGGCCAAAUUCCCUGGGGGAAAAAAAGAUAAAUUAUAGUACAUCUGUUACCCAGUUAUUCAAAAAAAGAAAAAAAAAAGCGCCACAUAUAUUGUUAAGGAAAGAUGCUUAAAAGAUACUUUGUAAAAAUGCAUGCUUAGCACGGGCUAGCCCUUGGGUUUGAUCCCUGAAACUACAAAAAUAAGGCUUACUUAUCACUCUGUACUGCCACUGCUUCGCUGCCACAGUCCUUCGCUGACAGCAGAACCCAGCUUCUUCAAGCUUCUAACAUGGAGUGAAGACCACCAGAACUGCAGGAGGCCAGCACCACGUUGUGAUCUCUUCACACUGAAGAAGCCAGUGUUGGACUACCGGAUGACAUCCUGAAAAUCAAUCUAAUAAAUACUUUUACUGUGUAUCCAUUCUA